UUUAGUAUCCUGGCUCAGGAGUGAACGCUAGCGGCAGGCUUAACACAUGCAAGUCGAGGGGUAGUAGUUCUUCGGAGCUAGAGACCGGCGCACGGUGCGUAACGCGUAUGCAAUCUACCUUUACUAGGGGAGUAGCCCAGAGAAAUUUAGGAUUAAUACCCCACUAGUAUAAUUGAAUGGCAUCAUUUAAUUAUUAAAGUCACAACGGUAAAAGAUGAGCAUGCGUCCCAUUAGCUAGUUGGUAAGGUAACGGCUUACCAAGGCAACGAUGGGUAGGGGUCCGUGAGAGGGAGAUCCCCCACACUGGUACUGAGACACGGACCAGGCUCCUACGGGAGGCAGCAGUGAGGAAUAUUGGUCAAUGGGCGCAAGCCUGAACCAGCCAUGCCGCGUGCAGGAUGACGGUCCUAUGGAUUGUAAACUGCUUUUGCACAGGAAGAAACACUGAUUCGUGAAUCAGCUUGACGGUACUGUGAGAAUAAGGAUCGGCUAACUCCGUG
rnacentral:rRNA from 1 species